rnacentral:rRNA from 1 species
CCUACGGGAGGCAGCAGUGAGGAAUAUUGGUCAAUGGGCGCAAGCCUGAACCAGCGACGCCGCGUGCGGGAUGAAGGGGCUUUGCCUCGUAAACCGCUGUCGGGUGGGACGAAAGGUAGCUUUGAGCUACUGGAACGGUACCAUCAAAGGAAGGAUCGGCUAACUACGUGCCAGCAGCCGCGGUAAUACGUAGGAUCCGAGCGUUGUCCGGAGUUACUGGGUGUAAAGGGUGCGUAGGCUGUUCUGUGCGUCAGAGGUGAAAUCCACGAGCUUAACUCGUGGGGUGCCUUUGAUACGGCAGGGCUUGAGUACGAGAGAGGUGCGUGGAAUUCCUGGUGUAGCAGUGAAAUGCGUAGAUAUCAGGAGGAACACCGGUGGCGAAGGCGGCGCACUGGCUCGUAACUGACGCUGAGGCACGAAAGCGUGGGGAUCAAACAGGAUUAGAUACCCUGGUAGUCCACGCCUUAAACGAUGCANNUGUGUUGUCGUCGCAGAGAUNAGUGCCGUACGUUAACGUAUAGAGUAAGACGAUGCCGUACCGUACGGGGUUAGGUUACGGUAGUUCGCGAAGGUUAGGUUAACGUUACGAAGGAAGUUAGACGGCGUUGAGACGNGCCGACGGACGACGACGAGGGAGGAGG